GACGAACGCUGGCGGCGUGCCUAAUACAUGCAAGUCGAACGCACUCUCGUUUAGAUUGAAGGAGCUUGCUCCUGAUUGAUAAACACUUGAGUGAGUGGCGGACGGGUGAGUAACACGUGGGUAACCUGCCCUAAAGUGGGGGAUAACAUUUGGAAACAGAUGCUAAUACCGCAUAAAACCCAGCACCGCAUGGAGUAGGGUUGAAAGAUGGUUUCGGCUAUCACUUUAGGAUGGACCCGCGGUGCAUUAGUUAGUUGGUGAGGUAAAGGCUCACCAAGACCGUGAUGCAUAGCCGACCUGAGAGGGUAAUCGGCCACACUGGGACUGAGACACGGCCCAGACUCCUACGGGAGGCAGCAGUAGGGAAUCUUCCACAAUGGACGAAAGUCUGAUGGAGCAACGCCGCGUGAGUGAAGAAGGUUUUCGGAUCGUAAAACUCUGUUGUUGGAGAAGAAUGUAUCUGAUAGUAACUGAUCAGGUAUGACGGUAUCCAACCAGAAAG
rnacentral:rRNA from 1 species